CGGGGCUUUCAGCGGUUUAGUGUCGGUGUCAUGGGGUGUCGGGGGUCGGAGGUUCGAAUCCUCUCAUGCCGACCA
rnacentral:tRNA from 1 species